CCUCCAAGGCUAAAUACUCCUGACUGACCGAUAGUGAACCAGUACCGUGAGGGAAAGGCGAAAAGAACCCCGGCGAGGGGAGUGAAAAAGAACCUGAAACCGUGUACGUACAAGCAGUGGGAGCACCCUUGUGGUGUGACUGCGUACCUUUUGUAUAAUGGGUCAGCGACUUAUAUUCUGUAGCAAGGUUAACCGUAUAGGGGAGCCGAAGGGAAACCGAGUCUUAACUGGGCGUUAAGUUGCAGGGUAUAGACCCG
rnacentral:rRNA from 1 species